AUCCAGGUGACGAGUCCCAAAUAGGACGAAACGUGCGUCCUGGAU
rnacentral:hammerhead_ribozyme from 1 species